CGGCAGACAUUUCGAAUUAUGCCGCGCGAACCGGAAUAUUGAGGCAUGAGGCAAGUCAAGACACAGGGACACAGACACAAAAUUAAAUUACAUACCGACGGCGACGAUGAAAAUUACGAAAUUUAUUUAUUUAUUGCGAAAUAAAUUUAAAAAGGGUAAACAAACACUUUGUAUUUUAAAUUAACUAUACAACACAGAUAAUAUAACUAAAAAGACAUUGAGAAAAACAAGCCAAAACGAC